rnacentral:rRNA from 1 species
UCUUCGGAUGUGUAUAAAGUGGCGAACGGCUGAGUAACACGUGGGCAACCUGCCCUUUGCACUGGGAUAGCCUCGGGAAACCGAGGUUAAUACCGGAUACUCCAUAUUUGUCGCAUGGCGAAUAUGGGAAAGCUCCGGCGGCAAAGGAUGGGCCCGCGGCCUGUUAGCUAGUUGGUGGGGUAGUGGCCUACCAAGGCAAUGAUGGGUAGCCGGGUUGAGAGACCGACCGGCCAGAUUGGGACUGAGACACGGCCCAGACCCCUACGGGAGGCAGCAGUGGGGAAUCUUGCACAAUGGGCGAAAGCCUGAUGCAGCGACGCCGCGUGCGGGAUGAAGGCCUUCGGGUUGUAAACCGCUUUCAGCAGGGACGAGGCCGCAAGGUGACGGUACCUGCAGAAGAAGCCCCGGCUAACUACGUGCCAGCAGCCGCGGUAAUACGUAGGGGGCAAGCGUUAUCCGGAUUCAUUGGGCGUAAAGCGCGCGUAGGCGGUCUGUUAGGUCAGGAGUUAAAUCUGGGGGCUCAACCCCUAUCCGCUCCUGAUACCGGCAGGCUUGAGUCUGGUAGGGGAAGAUGGAAUUCCAAGUGUAGCGGUGAAAUGCGCAGAUAUUUGGAAGAACACCGGUGGCGAAGGCGGUCUUCUGGGCCAUGACUGACGCUAAGGCGCGAAAGCUAGGGGAGCGAACAGGAUUAGAUACCCUGGUAGUCCUAGCUGUAAACGAUGGACACUAGGUGUGGGGAGAUUAUACUUUCCGUGCCGCAGCUAACGCAUUAAGUGUCCCGCC